GACGAACGCUGGCGGCGUGCUUAACACAUGCAAGUCGAACGCUGAAGCUUGGUGCUUGCACUGGGUGGAUGAGUGGCGAACGGGUGAGUAAUACGUGAGUAACCUGCCCUUGACUCUGGGAUAAGCCUGGGAAACUGGGUCUAAUACUGGAUACGACAUGUCACCGCAUGGUGGUGUGUGGAAAGGGUUUUACUGGUUUUGGAUGGGCUCACGGCCUAUCAGCUUGUUGGUGGGGUAAUGGCUCACCAAGGCGACGACGGGUAGCCGGCCUGAGAGGGUGACCGGCCACACUGGGACUGAGACACGGCCCAGACUCCUACGGGAGGCAGCAGUGGGGAAUAUUGCACAAUGGGCGGAAACCUGAUGCAGCGACGCCGCGUGAGGGAUGACGGCCUUCGGGUUGUAAACCUCUUUCAGCACGGAAGAAGCGAAAGUGACGGUACGUGCAGAAGAAGCGCCGGCUAACUACGUG
rnacentral:rRNA from 1 species